rnacentral:rRNA from 1 species
GACGAACGCUGGCGGCGUGCCUAAAACAUGCAAGUCGAACGGAGUAGCAAUACUCAGUGGCGAACGGCGGAGUAAUACAUGAACAACGUGCCCGGAAGACUGGGAUAGUCAGGGGAAACCCUGGGUAAUACCAGAUGUGGCCGAUCUUUGGCAUCUUAGAUCGAUCAAAUGGUUUUUCGCUUCCGGAGCGGUUCAUGGCCUAUCAGGUAGCUGGUGAGGUAAUGGCNCACCAAGCCGACGACGGGUAGCGGGUCUGAGAGGAUGAUCCGCUCGAGUGGGACUGAGACACGGCCCACACACCUACGGGUGGCAGCAGUUGGGAAUCUUGCACAAUGGGGGAAACCCUGAUGCAGCGACGCCGCGUGGAGGAUGAAGGGUCUAGGCCUGUAAACUCCUUUUACCGGGAAAGACUUAGGACGGUACCCGGGAAGUAAGACCGGGCUAACUACGUGCCAGCCGCCGCU